GAUGAACGUUGGCGGCGUGCCUAAUACAUGCAAGUCGAACGAAGACUGUAGUAAUACUGUCUUAGUGGCGAACGGGUGAGUAACGCGUGGGUGACCUGCCCCGAAGUGUGGGAUAACAGUUCGAAAGGAUUGCUAAUACUGCAUAAUAUCCAAGAGAUUAGGCGCUUUUGGAUUAAAGGAGUAAUUCGCUUCGGGAGGGGCCCGCGUCCCAUCAGCUAGUUGGUAAGGUAAUGGCUUACCAAGGCGAUGACGGGUAGGGGACCUGAGAGGGUGGCCCCCCACAAUGGAACUGAAACACGGUCCAUACACCUACGGGUGGCAGCAGUAGGGAAUAUUAGUAAUGGGCGAAAGCCUGAACUAGCAACGCCGCGUGUGCGAAGAAGGCCUUCGGGUUGUAAAGCACUUUUUGAGAGGAUGAGGAAGGACGGUACUCUCAGAAUAAGUCUCGGCUAACUACGUG
rnacentral:rRNA from 1 species